GAAAGAUUAAGCAUGUGUUAUUAUAUUCCUUUUAUUGGUGUUUGUCAUUAAUCUUCUACUGUCGGCGGUCACCGGGAGGUGACGCAUGCAUGAGGGCGCCGAGGAUGAUACCAAGCGCCACCGAGCUUCAGGAAGCUGGGGUGCAAUUCAAGGCCAAAGAGAAGGCCAGAGGUUACUUGGACGUCACGUUCAAAGAUGGUGUAUUGGAGAUACCCAUGGUGCCAGUUCAGGCUGCGACCAUUCCGCUAUUUCGUAACCUCGUGGCGUUCGAGCAGUGCACCCCAGGAUCUGGGAGUGACUUCACUUCGUAUGUGUCUCUGAUGGAUAACCUUAUAGACACAUCAGAUGAUGUACUGGUGCUGGAGGAGUGUGG
rnacentral:misc_RNA from 1 species